rnacentral:rRNA from 1 species
CCUACGGGUGGCAGCAGUGAGGAAUAUUGGUCAAUGUACGAGAGUCUGAACCAGCCAAGUAGCGUGAAGGAUGACUGCCCUAUGGGUUGUACACUUCUUUUAUAAAGGAAUAAAACGAGGCACGUGUGCCUUUUUGCAUGUACUUUAUGAAUAAGGAUCGGCUAACUACGUGCCAGCAGCCGCGGUAAUACGGAGGAUCCGAGCGUUAUCCGGAUUUAUUGGGUUUAAAGGGAGCGUAGAUGGGUUGUUAAGUCAGUUGUUAAAUUUUGCGGCUCAACCGUAAAAUUGCAAUUGAUACUGGCAGUCGUGAGUACAGUUGAGGUAGGCGGAAUUCGUGGUGUAGCGGUGAAAUGCUUAGAUAUCACGAAGAACCCCGAUUGCGAAGGCAGCUUACUAAACUGCCACUGACAUUGAUGCUCGAAAGUGUGGGUAUCAAACAGGAUUAGAUACCCCAGUAGUC